rnacentral:rRNA from 1 species
GGGGGAUAACGUCCGGAAACGGGCGCUAAUACCGCAUACGUCCUGAGGGAGAAAGUGGGGGAUCUUCGGACCUCACGCUAUCAGAUGAGCCUAGGUCGGAUUAGCUAGUUGGUGGGGUAAAGGCCUACCAAGGCGACGAUCCGUAACUGGUCUGAGAGGAUGAUCAGUCACACUGGAACUGAGACACGGUCCAGACUCCUACGGGAGGCAGCAGUGGGGAAUAUUGGACAAUGGGCGAAAGCCUGAUCCAGCCAUGCCGCGUGUGUGAAGAAGGUCUUCGGAUUGUAAAGCACUUUAAGUUGGGAGGAAGGGCAGUAAGUUAAUACCUUGCUGUUUUGACGUUACCAACAGAAUAAGCACCGGCUAACUUCGUGCCAGCAGCCGCGGUAAUACGAAGGGUGCAAGCGUUAAUCGGAAUUACUGGGCGUAAAGCGCGCGUAGGUGGUUCAGCAAGUUGGAUGUGAAAUCCCCGGGCUCAACCUGGGAACUGCAUCCAAAACUACUGAGCUAGAGUACGGUA